ACAAACUUGGUCAUUUAGAGGAAGUAAAAGUCGUAACAAGGUUUCCGUAGGUGAACCUGCGGAAGGAUCAUUAGUGAAUGUAGUUUUGGGGGAGUCGAGUGCUCGUCCCAGGAACUUUUCAUUUUUCCUUUCCACUGUGAAAAUGUUUUAUCGGGCGGUCUCUUUUAAGGGGGACUGGUCGAGGCUGGGGGAGUAGAACAGUGUUGUCGCUUCUGGCUACAAUAUGGGAUCGAAACCUUGGGGACCGAAUCACUACUUUAUAAUUUUUGAGACAACCUUUUUAAACAUGAAUGUGUGAUUUUUGAAAAAUCUAAAACUUUCAGUGACGGAUCUCUUGGCUCUCGCAUCGAUGAAGAACGCAGC
rnacentral:misc_RNA from 1 species